GUGACCAUAGGGGCAGGUGCAUGCUGACAAAACAGAGGGGCUCUUCUGUGCAUGUGGGUGGUCCUGGAAAUUGAAUGGAAUAAGAAGCCUGAAACUGCUUUUGUUUUGUCACGGUGGCAGAGAAGUAAGCAUUGCUAGAGGUUCCUGAUUCACUUGAAAAGGAACGAAGUUUCAAUAUCUUCCUUCAAUUUAGAAUACGCACAGAAGAGCUGGCCAUGGAAUUCAAUGUUAACAUAAUGAGGGAAAUGUGACAACAGCAUCUCAGAUAGCCAAGACAAGGUAAAGAAGGUACCUCUCCCAAAUCUCCCGAAAAUAACAGAAAACAGGAGGAUUAAACAAUAUUAUAGAAGCUCAGAAGCACAGGAAUGAUGAGACCCCUGUGGUUUCACCAGUACCCUGCUAUCUACAUAUUUCCUGGAUGCACUUCCAUUAACGAGGUAUUUGUUCAGAGAAAUGAAAAGCUAACACGUAUAUUGGAGGUUCUGGGAAGUCUAAAAAUGGAAAGAAAAAGCUACAGCUGAUUGGUGGCAAAUCCUGUGUCUCCUAAUUCUUGAGCUCCGGGUCAAUACAUAACUUGCUAAGGUUUGUGAAGUGCUCCCUCUGUGACUCAUAAGUGGGGACUUGCAGAGCUGUGGCCAGGCCAUGGUUUUGAAGGACCUGUUGAAGACUUCAGUGUGUUUGAGCUCCUGCAUCUGAGGGAGGCUUGUUCUGCUGCCACAGAUCCUACAUUGAGGCAAAAGUCACAGUGGCCUGCAUGGUAUGGUCUACCCCUUUGCCACCCACCUGCUCCAUCCUUGCUCCUGCCAGCAUAUGUGGACUAAUUAUGCUACUAAGUUUCCAACAUAUUGGUCAAGCACAUCAUUGGGAAUGAAGAUCGAAGGAUCAUCUUGACUUGCUCCAUGGGGCCUUGUGAAGUAUCUCAGGUCUGUAAAACUCUUGAAGGGAGAAGCUGGUGACCCCAGGAGUUGUGCAAUGUGGAGACAGCACCCUGUUCACAAAUGGCUUGGUUCACUCUGUCCCCCUUUCCUUAUAUCUGCCAUCAGUUGAACUCAUAGGACAGAAGGUUAAACAGUGGAUUUCCAGAGCUAUAAGGGACCUGGAUUCCUCUUAGAGUCAGGGGUAGAACAGUUUAUUGCUCAGCUCAUGAAGCAGACAUAUUUGAGUUUGAACCAUGGCUCUGUGCUUCAUUGGAGAUCCAUAAAAUGAAUAAAAUAAUAAUAUUUCAUGAAAUCAUGUAGCCUAAAUACUUGGAAUCUGAUGCAGUUAAAUAUACAAAUAAAUGUUAAUUCCUAUUAUAAUCUUACCUCCUAUCCCUCCUUUUAAAAAUUUACUUUGGGACUCAGUGAUAUGAAAUGACUCAUCUGAAGUCUUAUAGCUGAUUAAUAAUAGUCAAACUUAAUUUAGUGUUGCCUUAACAGCAUCCUAGGAUUUGCCCAGUAGAAUUUUGUUUUUAGCCACCUUUGAAUGUCCAUAAGCGUGGCUCUCAGCACAUAAGACUCUAUAUUGUCCUUCUUCUGCAACUGAUUUUCACACUUAAACCAUGACAUACUUUCCCCCCAUGUAUUUCAAUAGUUUUGGUAUUGAUCUUUGAGCUGUUAGCCUUAACAUUCUGCUUUUCAAAGUCUGUUGUCUGGAGAGCUAAACCCACAGUGGACUGUGUCCCUAACUCAGCCCAGAUCUCCUUUGAUCCUUUUUUACCAUUUAUGUCUGUGAGAUUAUUCUCUUCUGUUUGUUUGAUUUUCUUCUAACAGUAUUCUCUUGAAAUCCUUCUGGAGUCCAAGAUGUGCAGAUAGGCAGCAGGAUGUAGGAUUUUAUGUUCUUUAAAACAUAAAAUCCAAGCCCUUAGCCCAAGAGGGUUUGGGCAGGAAUACAAAACCCCCGUCUCCAUGCCCGUGAUCAGGACAAACUCCGAAACGUAGUUUAUAUAACAGACCUCCCUCUGGGGAUCUAGGCUGAAGCUAGCAGUUUGUCUGAAAUUCCACCUUUUCUUGGAUGCUUCUCCUUCUGUGUCCUGCCUCUGUGCUUGGCAGUGAGUCCUUAUCUCAGAGUCUGGUUCUGGAACCUCCAGCCAAGCAGAGCAUUAUUUAUGAACAAGCUACCCUCUGUUUUACAUAUAUACUUCCUCAUACCAGAAAUUAUUCAGGGGGUGGAAUUUCUUGCUAUUUCAGUGAAAUCACAUAUGCAAAGUCUCUUUGUACAUGGUGCAUGCUAUAGAAAUGUGAAUAUGAUUCUUCACAUUUUAUUUCCUUUGCUGUUAUUUUGAAUAAAUCCAGUCUAUAGUGUGCAUAUCAGAAUUUCCAUGUCUCACUUUUCAACUGCAUUGGAGUGUAUUUUCCCAUUUAUGACACUUUAGUUCCUCUGAAGACCCCUCGCACUGAUUGUCUCAGGUCAGAAAUUAUAGUUAUUAAAGGAUGCAGAGCCAGGAUGCUUCGUGCAUCCAAGGCUAGGUUAUAUUUUCUCCAUAAUAUCUGAUAUGCCCUUAUUAUCUAAUUAAUAACAUAUUUUAGUAUAUAAAAGUAUUUAAAGGUACAUACUUCACUAUAAUUGUCAAUUAUUUUUCUCAGGCUUUCCCCCUCAUAUUUUUUUUUGGGGGGGGGGGAUUUAGCCUUUCAUUUGCAAACAAAUGUCCAAGGAAUAAACAAGCUUACUGCAACCAAGAAUGUUGGUUGAUACAAAUCAACUGAUACAAAUCUUCAGUUCUUCGUCCUGAUGUUCACUUUCAUGAUUUCAAUAGCAAAUACUUGUCUACUAAAAAGUCCAGAAAAAGUUAAGAUGCUUAUUUUUUUCCUAUGGUUCUCUGUGGUUUCUGCUAAAACCAUACCUUCUGUGGCUGCAUUUGUAAUGGCUUCAUCAGGACUUGUCUGCCAAGGGGAAGGCUGAAGUUUCCCACCUGCAAUUGGUGCUGGGCCAGCAUCUGUCCUCUAAUCCCACAACCCACCAUGGUUUUUUGAAUACCAAAGGUGCUUUUAAAAGCCCAUGCAGAAGUGGAUGCUGAAACUCCCACAUAGUCAUUUUGCUUCAAUGUGAUGUACAUUCUAUAGUCUGCAACCGGUGACAGAUCUCAUGGGAGGGCUUUUAACCCUCAGUCUGCCAUAGCCAAGACCUCUAGCUUGAAGAGAUUGUGAGAAGUGAAUUUGAGGUUAACCACUUCAUCUCCCAGAUGUUCCAAUUCAGACUUACCUCUGAUUUAGUUAGUUAAGAAUGUUAUGCAAGCCAUCAACAAAGCUGGGAAACUAUGACCAGAUGCCAUUGCUGUGAGGUCCUGGGUAUGGUCCCAGCAGUGCCCUGCUAUGUAGACUUGGAGCUGAGAUCACUGGGCAUAUGACAACAGUAUUCAGCACAGGAGAGAUCCCUGGCCCCGUGCAAAGGGUUUUUUGUUUGUUUUUGAUUCCUUGAUGAUUGUUUACAAAUUGUAAAUUCUGUAUUUUAACUUGAACAAUUGUUAUACUUGUUUGCAAAUAAAUCAAAAUGAGAAGUUCCGAGUAA